AUUGAACGCUGGCGGCAGGCCUAACACAUGCAAGUCGAGGGGUAGCAGGAUUAAGCUUGCUUAAUUGCUGACGACCGGCGCACGGGUGCGUAACGCGUAUGCAACCUACCUUAUACUGGGGUAUAGCCCGGAGAAAUUCGGAUUAAUCCACCAUAGUACUAAUGAAUCGCAUGGUUUAUUAGUUGAAGCAUUGCGGUAUAAGAUGGGCAUGCGUCCUAUUAGCUAGAUGGUGAGGUAACGGCUCACCAGGGCUACGAUAGGUAGGGGGCCUGAGAGGGUGGUCCCCCACACUGGUAAUGAGACACGGACCAGACUCCUACGGGAGGGAGCAGUGAGGAAUAUUGGUCAAUGGGCGCAAGCCUGAACCAGCCAUGCCGCGUGCAGGAAGAAUGCCCUAUGGGCUGUAAACUGCUUUUAUUUGGGAAUAAACCUCUUUACGUGUAGAGAGCUGAAGGUACCAAAUGAAUAAGCACCGGCUAACUCCGUGCCAGCAGCCGCCGUAA
rnacentral:rRNA from 1 species